rnacentral:rRNA from 1 species
GACGAACGCUGGCGGUGUGCUUCACACAUGCAAGUCGAACGAGGUAGCAAUACCUAGUGGCGGACGGGUGAGUAACGCGUGGGAAUCUGCCUUUUAGAUGGGGGGAUAACGGGUCGAAAGACUCGCUAAUACCGCAUAUGACGAAAGUUGAAAGGAGUAAUCCGUCUAAAGAUGAGCCCGCGUCCGAUUAGCUAGUUGGUAGAGUAAAAGCCUACCAAGGCGACGAUCGGUAGCUGGUCUGAGAGGAUGAUCAGCCACAAUGGGACUGAGACACGGCCCAUACUCCUACGGGAGGCAGCAGUGGGGAAUUUUACGCAAUGGGCGAAAGCCUGACGUAGCGACACCGCGUGAGCGAAGAAGCCCCUUGGGGUGUAAAGCUCUGUCAGCUGGAACGAAAAAAAUGACGGUACCAGCAGAGGAAGCAUCGGCUAACUACGUGCCAGCAGCCGCGGUAAAGUCUGUACU